rfam:Medicago truncatula strain A17 chromosome 3, whole genome shotgun sequence.
UUGGUUUAAAUCAUUGUGGGUCUACACUUUGCAAAUAGAACCCACACAAAAGUGGUGGGACAUACAUUGAUUCCAUCUAA